ACACUUCUCAAAUCCAGAGCAGAUUGUGGGAGGCGCACAGCAUUAAAUAGAGCCAUGACUACGUGGAACUAUAUUCCACAUCAGGGCAGGCGGUGCAUGAACCCAUCCCAUGGGCACUAUGGAAGUUCAUGAUUGGGCCAACCCUGACAGCUGGGCCUGUGCUGGACUAUGCUGACACUGGCUGCUACUGUGGGAAGGGCAGCUUGGGCCACCCGUGAAUCCCCUGGACAGGUAGCAACUACCCUGGAAGGACCACCAGUCUUCACUACAAGUCCCUGAGGACAGAGGUCAGGCGGUCAUGCUGG